rnacentral:pre_miRNA from 1 species
AUGCUCUUAACUUUCUGAAAAAUUCUUCUUUUCAGCUGAAAUUUUCCAUGCUUGGUCUCAGCUCAAAGAUGAAUUUCUUUAGACAGUUGAGCA